CCGCUGCCUGGCGCCCAUCCCCCACCGCACCGCCGCCGCCGGGCCCGGGCGGCGCUUCCCGCGUUCCCUGUCACGUGACAUGCCGCGCCUCGUGCCUCCCUGCCCCAGCAACAGGGGAAGGGACCAAAAUCCUCCCGCUCAAAAAGCAACAAACACGCGGCCAAUCCACUAUCCUCAAAAACCGAUGUCCCCACGGGCGGUCCUAGCCUCAAGGCGGUGGUCGGAUUCAAGACCGGCGAUCUGAGCCCGGUGCCCGGUGGGUGGGGGAGGGGAAGGUGGAGGCGAACGGCUGCACGCGGUCACGUGACUCCGGCUCCUCCAAGAUGGCGGCUGCGGAGAGAGACGCGACAGGCAGCGCUCUCGCGAGAUUCGCUUCCUUCCCGAGGCAUCAUGGGAAGGCAAAAAGCCAGCCAGCGGCCUCCCGCCGGGGCGCGGAGCGGCGGCAGUGCGCAGGCGCAGUGCGCACCGCCUGAGAGCGCCUGGCCAUGGAGCUGGAGGGUCGGGGCGGGCCGGGGCGGGCUGGGUGCUGCGUUUGCUGCUCUGUCUGCAGGGGCUGCCGGUCUGAGCAUGAGUGAUGCCGCCUCAGCUCCUGCCCACCCCUGCUCCGUCUGAUGAAUGCGUCUCCCUUUAGGUGGCCCCAUAUCUCCGUCCCGCCGCUGUUGGUAUUAGUGUGCCUGUGGAGCCGGCGCUGGGCUCGUCGUCAAAACACUCUGAGGCGGCCCUCUGGAGCUCCGAGUAGUCUGAGGGUGGUCGGUGAUACCAGUCGUAGAGAUGCCUAUAGCUCCCCCGAUUUCCCUCAGCAGUCCCACGACACUUCAGUGUUUCUCUCGCAAGAACUUCUUGGACUUGCUGUGGCAGAGUGAGUGAGGGAGCGGUGCAAUGCAGAGGGCCAUCACUGCUGACUACCCUGUGAGAAUGCCACACCUUGGAGAUGCGCUGGCGAUGAGUCGUCCCUUAAAUACAUUGGAAGCUGCUAAAGCGAAAUUUUAUGCUGCAAGGAGACUGCUACACAUGAAAACCUGAUGACUUGAAAUAACUAACUGAAAACCUGAUACUAGGUCUACUUUCAGAGACAUGAUUUUAGUACUUAAGGUCCUCAGACCAACAUCAAAAUGUUUUCCCAGCUGUGUAAGACUAUGUCAUAUUUUAAGAACUUCAAACUAAAAUUGAAGCAGACAUCAAUGAAGUGUGGGCAAUGGCGAAAUCUGCUUUAAAUGUCCACUACUACCCAUUCUGUUUUAAAUAAGUUUACUUAUUUUAUCUUUAGGCAAACUUUACAAGGAUUAAAACAACCAAUAAAGGAUUAGACAGAUUUAGGCUAAGCUAUUUAAAGACAAAGUAAUGUUAAUUAAACGGACUUAAGUAAUUCAGAUUAAUCACUGAUGCUUCAGACACUAAAUGGAGAAAAAGACAACAGAAGUCUUGCCAGAGACAAGAAAAUACUUAAGCAACAGUUAAUAUCUUGACUAUUGCACUCUACGCACUUCAAGGCACAAUGAAAUACAGUUCAUGUGUGCUCUAUCUAACGUUAAAAGCAUCGAAGCAGCUCCCUACAAUCAUGGCAAGAAAGUGAUGUUUUUGAUGUCUUGUGCUGAAAAGAUAGUUAUCUGGCAGGCCUGUGAUCAUCCUCGACUGAGAGAGGACCAGAUCCAAUUGCAGCUGAUAAAAGAAGUAUCUAGUCACUGAGGCUUUCUGCUGAGCAUGUUUGGUCCUGCAUGGCCAGGCUUAGGAUCUUGAAGUCCACACAAAGGACUGCUGUAUUUAUGCAGCUUUCUUUGAGCCACAACUGUUCCUGAGCUUUUCCUGCUUACCAGUACCCAUCCUGCAGAAGAGUCAGACUCAUGCUGGAACACAGGUAAUAAUGACACUGCUGCUCUGUAGUGAUUCAGUGCACUGGGAAUCAACUAGAUGUUAAAAAAAAGUAUGGAUUUGUACUUUAUUUUCCCUGCUAAGAUAUAUUUCCCCCAAAGUUUUGUCUGUGCUGUCUGAAAACUACUUGAGCUAUUUUGUGACAAUUAGAGAAGCUGGCACGGAGCAGAAAUGGUUAACUGGCAUGAGAGCAGCAGACAUCUGGCAAGCACGGUGUUAUGCAGCUAUGUUUAGGAAACUUUCUAACACAUGUAAGCUUCAGAAGCAUCUACAUAGGACAUCAACUGGUACAAUGAUACUAGGUGUUGUUACCAGGCUCAGUUCAGUAUCCACUUUACCGCACAGCAUUUUGUAGAUAUCCAAGAUAAACAAUGACUGUUCACUGGCAGUACAGGGGUCUCUGCAAUCAGUGGGAAGGCUGACUUAGGGCAGAUCUUUCCAGAGGUUACAGGCUCUCAAAACACCUUCUGGCAGCUAAGGCUCAGCUAACUUGAUUCUAGCAGAAGGUCUAGCUAUGGUAUCAGAUCAGCAAGAGAUGUUCACUUGCCUCCAAGUUAGAUCCAUUAGAAAGGCACAGGUUUUGUACAUGUAUUUUUAUCUAUUCUCCAGGCCUUCUGACUUAAUACUCUGGACACUUCACAGGACUUUAUACACUGAAGAGCUUCUGUCACCCUUGUCAGAGACACUGCCCUGAGACUUCCUCUGUAAAAUGUUGCAGGGAUUGUGGCAUAUUUUUCAUAUGCUGAGUGCAUAGUUUCCUAGCUGACUCUUUUCAAAACAUAACACUUUAAAUUAAAGCCAGCUCUUGAAGGUCUUUAUUUCAGAUA